CACUUUGGACAUUUUGACUGAUGUCACUUUAAAGCAAAUAUUAAGGACAAAAGUGGCGAGAGUGGAAAAGAGCAGACGACUACCCGAAGUAUCAGAGCGGACCUGGGGUAUACCAGAGGCCCGACAAGACACAGCAGGAUGGAUGCCUAGGACGCCACAGGCCUGCAACGUGGAUCCUACUUGGGUCUGAGGUUGAAGUUUUAGAACAAUUGGGAACAUAGGCAGUACGCUCAGCUCCCAAGAGAUGGGUGCCUCGUGCUGUGGAGAGAGCACCCCGUGCUGUGGAGAGAGCGCCCCGUGACUGCUUACCGGCGUCAAAAGCUGCCUUCUUCCUGCAGUGCUGACGGCUCCUGGUUCCUGGCCAUGCGGAGAGCAGGAGGCACACAUUCACUCCCCUGCAAAGUUCUCAGAGUGACCACUCUAAUCUCUGGGAUUCAGGCCCUUGUUGGUUGUGACUGUUUCUGCCUGAAGAUCUGCAUUUAAUGAGCCUGUGGUGGUUACCUGCAUGUGGGUGUUUUUUACUAUGAGUUGCUGCACCUGGCUAGAGGACCUGACGAUUGCUCAAACUUUUGUGCUUAGUCAAACAGACUUACUAUACCAUUUUGUUUGUGGAGCACUACCUAUGAAUUGUAAAAGAGCAGCAGGUCGUUAUCCUCAGGUUUAUUUUAUACAGCGGCUAAAUCUGAAAUUUCAUUCCUUUACUCUCCUGUUUUUCUCGUAUAAUGUCAACAAAUGGGUUGUGGCCGAGAGAUCAAACUAAUUCACCUCCAGAGAGUGAAAUCCAACAUCAACUUUCUUUUUGUAGGAUAACAUAGCUAAAUAUUUUUAAGGGGUGAUAUGUAAAAUACGUAAUUUAAAUCUGAAAUUCAUUUUUAGGUUUAAAUAGGUUAUGCAAUAGCAAGGAAGAGCUUGGCUUUAAAAAUAAAUCUUCCAAAAUGCAAAUUGAGUUGUCAAAUUCUUAUGCUUUUUAGUUAAGAUAGUCACUGCUGCCAUUUCUGGAUAUUUGUGGCUUUGAAUUUGUGUCAUAGAUCCUACACUUUUAAUGUUGGACAAAGCAAUCAUUUUGCCUUUAUAUCCUCAUUUCUCAGUCCUAGAAUUCAAAAUGCAGUGCUGGAGAAGAAUUUGUUGAUACUAAGUUCAGUAAUGUUACUGUACUUUUCCAGAAGUUUAUUAGUAUUUGAAGC